rnacentral:rRNA from 1 species
GACGAACGCUGGCGGCGUGCUUAACACAUGCAAGUCGAACGGAAAGGCCCUUCGGGGUACUCGAGUGGCGAACGGGUGAGUAACACGUGGGUGAUCUGCCCUGCACUUUGGGAUAAGCCUGGGAAACUGGGUCUAAUACCGAAUAGGACCACGCGCUUCAUGGUGUGUGGUGGAAAGCUUUUGCGGUGUGGGAUGGGCCCGCGGCCUAUCAGCUUGUCGGUGGGGUAAUGGUCUACCAAGGCGACGACGGGUAGCCGGCCUGCGAGGGUGACCGGCCACACUAGGACUGGGAUACGGCCCAGACCCCAACGGGAGGCAGCAGAGGGGAAUAUUGCACAAUGGGCGCAACCCUGAUGCAGCGACGCCGCGUGGGGGAUGACGGCCUGCGGGUUGUAAACCUCUUUCAAUAGGGACGAAGCGCAAGUGACGGUACCGAUAGAAGAAGCACCGGCCAACUACGUG